GGAGGGUGACAACCGCCAGCCGGCCCACCUCCUCAGUCCCCAUUGGCUACAAGGCGCCACUGCCGCGCUAUGGCUGGGGCUUCCCAGCCAGAGCAGGAGAAUGACGGCCGCUCCCUCCCGCGCCGGAAAGGAGGCAUCACCCUGCACGUUCCCCACGAGUGGGCGUGGAAAGAGAGCGGAAGCCGAAACUAGGCGGCUUCACAGAUCUUGCACUGGGUCCCUGUGCCUGCCUGCCAUCGAGGAUCCAAAAUCUAAGGAUGAUGCUCGGAGUCCCACCACAGCCUGUCAGAGUUCACAUAGCGAAACCCAAAGCGCCUGCCCCUGUGACAUCAUGUGAAUUCAGCCACCCUCACUACCGCCACCAGCCCAGGAUAAGGAUCAUAUUUCCAGUCUCCUUUGCAGCUACCCGGCCACUGGACCAAUCUCCAACCAGGCAGAUAAAGGGAUGGAAGUUAGAGUCUCGCCUGGCGACUUCCGGUAACAGCUUUGUGCCACUUUCCCUAGAACGAUCCUCCUGCCUCCUUCCUGCCAGCUCCAUGGAUUGUAAAAUCACGUUGGGCGUGGCAGCCAGACAGAAUAAAGCACCAAAUUAAAACAGGUGCCAGUGUCCCCAUGUCAUGCAGAGUCAGCAAGGCACUCUGCACCAGCCCCAGCCCCACACUUCCUAUCUCCAGGUUUCUAAAAUAAAGAGAAAAAUGAAAUUGCCCUGUGCCCCAAACUGUGGCUAUUUGAGGGUUUUCUAUUACAAGUAGGCGAACUCAUUCCUAGCCAGUAUAGAGGCUAAGCGGCCAAGGGGUAAGGGGAAUCGUCUCAAGCAGGAUGGACAGGAAGGUAUCCCCGAGGGUGUGACAUUUGGGCAGAACAAAAGGAGGGAGAAGCCAAGCUGUGUGGGCAAGGGUGUCCCAGGCAGAACUUGCUCCCUGUCACCUAAGCUGGCAACCCAAGCCUUGUCCCCAGGCACCUUCUGUUCUACAGGCCACGUCUCACCUGUCACCAGAACAGAGUUCAGAACAAAGGAAACCAACUAAGGACACACACUCCCAGUCUCACCUCUCAGGCUGCCUUCUGCAGUCUGGCCCACAAAGGGUUAAACUGCUCCCCCCCCCAGCCCCCCCCCCCCCAAAGAGCUCUGUGAUGGAGCCUGGGGCCUUGUCUGGAAAACUGAUCUUGUGGGUUCUUUUAGUUCUGUAAGUCUGUGGUACUUUGUUAGGGAAUCCUUAAAGGAGAGGUUUCCUUUCAGGGAUAUGGUCUGACUGUGUAGCCCAGACUGGGCUCGAACUCACAAUCUUCCUGCCUGAGCCUCCAAGGGCUGGGGCUCUGUGAAGGUUAUGUUUUAUUGAGAUGUAAACUCACAUAUUACAUAAUUUAACCAUCUAAUUCAACCCACUGCUGGAGGAAUUCACGGAUACAGGAACCGUAAAUGCAGAGACGAGCUGGGAUUGCGUGUGCAGUGGGAACAGCCUCAGAAUAGCUCAUCAUCUAACAGAGGGGGGAAGGAGCUCUGGGCAUCUGUUGGAGGCUCCUCCGUGACAGUAGGUCUCCCAUAGGAGAUUGCUGAGUCCGGAGGCUAGGCAGAAAUGAGGAGUGUGUCUGUGGCCUGCCGUACUGGCAGCUUGGGCCAUCUGUAUGGGCAGUUCCUGCUGGGUGUGGACAUUCUCCAUCACUUCAAGUGCCCUGCAAGCCCAGGGUCCUCUCUGGGACUGUGAGGGUGUCUAGAAAUGUCUUCCUUCCAUCCAACAGAAUCAAAAACAACUGUCUAAGCCAAGCGUGUGUUGUCCCAAAAAAUCCGGCCCCGGCACCAUUGUGGGUUUCAGAUGUGAAGUUUCGUUUCUGGGAUCGGGAUCUGAGUCUGAGGCUUCUCAUUGUGAUUUCUCAUUGUGCCAGUUACACCAAAGCCCAUGGUCCAUUCUAGGUUUGCUGGUGACCGGGCUCCUCGUUCCUUGCCAGCUUGGCUUCCCUUGGGUUGGAAACCUGCUCUCACCAAUUAAUGCAGAGAGCUGAAGCAUUCCUUCACAGCAACCCUUGUGCAGUCUUCCCAGAGCUCAGACCGUUUCCCAAGCUCAGACAGGUGUUACAUUGCAAGACUGAGAUCUGAUAGGGGGCUGGAAGCCUGUCUCUGGCUUGCCACGCCCCUCCAUGCCCUGCUGAUCUUCUGUUCACCCCAACUCUCCAACUCUGUCAGGGCUGCGUCAGUGCAGAUACUGAGUGUUAAUUGUCAAGUUGGAGGUACCCAGAAGCACCUGAGAGAUG
rnacentral:lncRNA from 1 species